GAUGAACGCUAGCUACAGGCUUAACACAUGCAAGUCGAGGGGAAACGGCAUUUAGUGCUUGCACUGAAUGGACGUCGACCGGCGCACGGGUGAGUAACGCGUAUCCAACCUACCCAUUACUGUGGGAUAACCUGCCGAAAGGCAGACUAAUACCGCAUAGUCUUCGAUGACGGCAUCAGAUUUGAAGUAAAGAUUUAUCGGUAAUGGAUGGGGAUGCGUCUGAUUAGCUUGUUGGCGGGGUAACGGCCCACCAAGGCAACGAUCAGUAGGGGUUCUGAGAGGAAGGUCCCCCACAUUGGAACUGAGACACGGUCCAAACUCCUACGGGAGGCAGCAGUGAGGAAUAUUGGUCAAUGGGCGCGAGCCUGAACCAGCCAAGUAGCGUGCAGGAUGACGGCCCUAUGGGUUGUAAACUGCUUUUGUAUGGGGAUAAAGUCAAUCACGUGUGAUUGUUUGCAGGUACCAUACGAAUAAGGACCGGCUAAUUCCGUGCCAGCAGCCGCGGUAAUACGGAAGGUCCGGGCGUUAUCCGGAUUUAUUGGGUUUAAAGGGAGCGUAGGCCGGAGAUUAAGUGUGUUGUGAAAUGUAGACGCUCAACGUCUGACUUGCAGCGCAUACUGGUUUCCUUGAGUACGCACAACGUUGGCGGAAUUCGUCGUGUAGCGGUGAAAUGCUUAGAUAUGACGAAGAACUCCGAUUGCGAAAGCAGCUGACGGGAGCGCAACUGACGCUUAAGCUCGAAGGUGCGGGUAUCGAACAGG
rnacentral:rRNA from 1 species